GACGAACGCUGGCGGCGUGCCUAACACAUGCCAGUCGAACGGUGAAGCGCCUUCCUUUUUGGUGGGUGUGGAUGAGUGGCGAACGGGUGAGUAACACGUGAGUAACCUGCCCCCUUCUUCUGGAUAACCGCAUGAAAGUGUGGCUAAUACGGGAUAUUCUGGGUCUGUCGCAUGAUGGGUCUGGGAAAGAUAUUGUUUCGGUGGGGGAUGGGCUCGCGGCCUAUCAGCUUGUUGGUGGGGUGAUGGCCUACCAAGGCGGUGACGGGUAGCCGGCCUGAGAGGGUGGACGGUCACACUGGGACUGAGACACGGCCCAGACUCCUACGGGAGGCGGCAGUGGGGAAUAUUGCACAAUGGGCGCAAGCCUGAUGCAGCGACGCCGCGUGAGGGAUGGAGGCCUUCGGGUUGUGAACCUCUUUCGCCAGUGAAGCAGGCCUGCCUCGUUUGUGGGUGGGUUGACGGUAGCUGGAUAAGAAGCGCCGGCUAACUACGUG
rnacentral:rRNA from 1 species